rnacentral:lncRNA from 1 species
UAAUCACUCUCACUGCAUUGCUUUUCAUUUUUUUCCACCUUCUGUUGCAGUCAUCAGUCUUUGUCUACUUCUAGAGAGAUACAAAGUGAGGAUAAGCAAGAGCUGGAGCUGUGCUGACAAUGCUUUAGGAUGGCACAUUUACACUGUGUGAGUUCAGGAAGAGACAUGGUGUGGAAAAGGCUAAUAGUGCUGUACUCCAAUCCAGAAAGAAGCUACCCUAAGGCCUUAAUUACUAAGAUGCACCAGUGUCCUGCUCCAGUAUUCCUCUGGUCCUCACAGAGGGCAGCAUAUGUCCACUCAAUUCAGACCAGCCUAGAUAAAGAAAGAAGCGUGGUGCACUUUAAGCCUUUUACAGGAAGAGACUUAUUGUUUGUACUGUUAGCUUAGGAGUGGUAUUUCAAUACGUCCAGUCACAGCUGGAGACUGGCAAAACAAACAGACAGAGGCAGUCGUAUGGUAAAAUAAAGCUAUUCUUGAAACUACA